CCUGGUUGAUCCUUCCAGUAGUCAUAUUCUUGUCUCAAAAAUUAGGCCAUGCAUGUCUAAGUAUGAACUAAUUCAGACUAUGAAACUAUGGAUGGCUCACUAAAUCAAUUAUAGUUUCUUUUAUGGUACCAUACUACUCGAAUAACCAUAGUAAUUCUAGAGCUAACACAUGCACCAAGUCCUAACUCUUUGGAAGGGAUGAAUUUUUUUUAUAAAAGGCCAGUGUGGGCUUGCCUGCUUCUCCGGUGAAUCAAGAUAACUUAAUGGAUCACACAGCCCUUGUGUUUGCAAUGCUUCAUUCAAAUUAAUGGCCUAUCAACUUUGGAUGGUAGGAUAAAGGCCUACCAUGGUGGUGAUGGGUGACAACGAAUUAGGGAUUGAUUUCAAAGAGGGAGCCUGAGAAAUGACUACCAUGUGCAAGGAAGGCAUCAGGCGUGCAAAUUAACCAAUCCUGACAUAGGGAGGUAGUGACAAUAAAUAACAAUAUUGGGCUUAUUGAGUAUGGUAAUUGGAAUUAGCAAAAUCUAAAUCCCUUAAUGAGGAUCCAUUGGAAGAAAAGUCUGGUGCCAGCAGCCACAGUAAUUCUAGCUCCAAUAGCAUAUACUUAAGUUGUUGUAUUUAAAAAUAUAAAAGUUGGAUCUAGAGUCAUAAAGGUCGGUCCACCUACUCAGUGUGCACCUAUCCUUCCAUCCCUUUUGUCAGUGGCAUUCUCCUAGCCUUAAUUGGCUGGGUCAUGGCUCCGACAUUGUUAGUUUGAAAAAAUUAGAGUGCUCAAAGCAAGCUUAUGCUCUAAAUACAUUAGCAUGGAAUAACAUGAUAAGAGUAUGGUCCUAUUGUGUUGGCCUUCUACACCAAAGUAAUGAUUAAUAGGGACUUGCGGGGGCAUUCAUAUUUCAUUGUCAUAGGUGAAAUUCUUGGAUUUAUUAAAGAUGGACCACUGCAAAAGCAUUUUCCAAGGGGUUUUUCAUUAAUCAAGAAUGAAAGUUGGGGGCUCAAAGACAAUCAGAUACCAUCCUAGUCUCAACCAUAAACGAUGCCAACCAGGGAUCGAAAGAUGCUUCUCUAAGGACUUCGCCACCACCUUCUAAGAAAUUGGAGUGUUUGGGUUACGGGGGGAGUAUGGUCGCAAGGCUAAAACUUAAAGAAAUUGACAAAAGGGCCCCACUAGGAGUGGAGCCUGUGGAUUAAUUUGACUCAACAUGGGGAAACUUACCAACUCCAGACAUAGUAAUGAUUGACAUAUUAAGAGCUCUUUCUUGAUACUAUGGGUGGUGGUGCAUGGCCAUUCUUAGUUGGUGGAGUGAUUUGUCUGGUUAAUUUUGAUAAUUAACAAGACCUCAACCUGCUAAAUAGCUAUGUGGAGGUUCCCCUUUGCGGCCAACUUCUUAGAGGGACUAUGGCCGAUUCGGCCAUGGAAGUUUGAGGAAAUAAUAGGUCUGUGAAGCCCUUUUAUGUUCUCGGCCGCACGCACGCUACACUGAUGCAGCCAAUGCGUUUUGCUUCCUGGUUCGGGAGGAUCAAGAAAUCUUCUCAAAUUGCAUCAUGAUGGGGAUAGAAUAUUGCUAUUAUUGGUCUUCAAUGAGGAAUUCCUAGUAAGUGCAUGUCAUUAUCCCAUGUUGACUACGUCCAUGCACUUUUUACACACCGCCCAUCACUCCUACUGAUUGAAUGAUCCGGUGAAGUAUUUAGAUUGCAUCGAUGAUGGUUGUUUGUCGUGGUCGACCUCAUGAGAAGUUCAUUGAACCUUAUCAUUUAGAGGAAGGAGAAAUCGUAACAAGGUUAUCAUAGGUGAACCUGUGAUUG
rnacentral:rRNA from 1 species